GCGUGCGUCGACGGCUCUGCGUUCUUCCCCCCUUCUAUCCGAGAUCGAUUCAAUCCAAAUCGAACUCCGAAUCCGCUCGUGUCGAUCAGCUUCCUUCUAUUGGUGGUCGUACGUCGUGCGUAGGACCAAAAUACAGUACCAUCUUUCUAGCGGAAUUAAAAGAACCAUCUAAGACGAUCGAUGGAGUUGUAGUUGUCAUCUUGAGCCAAAAACGCAACCCAACAAAUUCUAUCAAGUUGUAUCUCCAGAGUACAUAUAAAAAUUUUCUCUUGCAAAAUUAUUCAUCUAGAGUCUCAACCCUUCGUUUGUUUAAACAUUAGAGAAACACCCAGAGAUCUUCAGGUUAGCUUUACAAGAUAGUGAGUUAGCCGGUCUGAGUUCCAAGCUUUAUUUCAUAAUUUUAUACCGAUAAAAACCUCGUCCCAGAGUAGGGUAGUACUCUGGUUGUAGUUCUAGUAGAAGAAGGAGUAGAACUCACGACCCCAGUAAUUCCUAACCGUAACGUGAGUAGAGGCUUUGUCCGGUUGGGGCUGUUGCCUCUUGCUUGUUGUUGUUGGGGGGCGGCGCGUGAGUGGAGG
rnacentral:lncRNA from 1 species